rnacentral:sRNA from 1 species
GUGGAGACGGGACAGCCCUGUCCCACUCACUCUUUCCCCUGCUGCUCCUGCCGGCAGCUCAGCUCGAACCAUGGGAGGCCGCGUCUUUCUCGCAUUCUGUGUCUGGCUGACUCUGCCGGGAGCUGAAACCCAGGACUCCCGGGGCUGUGCCCGGUGGUGCCCUCAGAACUCCUCGUGUGUCAAUGCCACCGCCUGUCGCUGCAAUCCAGGGUUCAGCUCUUUUUCUGAGAUCAUCACCACCCCCACGGAGACUUGUGAUGACAUCAACGAGUGUGCAACACCGUCGAAAGUGUCAUGCGGAAGAUUCUCGGACUGCUGGAACACAGAGGGGAGCUACGACUGCGUGUGCAGCCCAGGAUAUGAGCCUGUUUCUGGGGCAAAAACAUUCAAGAAUGAGAGCGAGAACACGUGUCAAGGUAAGAACCACCCCACAUCCUCCAUCACCACUGUCCAUGAGGUUUGGGGUCACCAGAGCUGUUUCUGCAGCAUCCAGGGAGCAGGUACCCAAGUAUAGGUUCAGUUCCUGGAGUCUGAGAUGAGACAGGUGUGCAUGUACCUGUUUCGCCAGCCCAGAGAGGCAGCGUGGUGUGAAGGCCAAGGGAAAACUCUGGGAACAGCUACCUGGGCCCAAAUCCUGGCUUUGCCACCUGUUACCUAAAUGAUAUUACCAACAUCACUACUGCUCUUAGAGCCUUGGUUUACCCAUCUAUAAAAGGAGGAUGAUAAUAAUGGUGCCUACUCGUAUGCCUUCUAGGAGGACCAAGGAAAGAAUAGGUGCUUCUAACAGAGCCCAGCACACAGCAGGUGCUACAGGCAUCUUCAUUCUUUAAACGUUAUUAUGCACUGUAAUCCCAGCACUUUGGGAGGCCAAGGCGGAUGG